rnacentral:rRNA from 1 species
UAUGGCCAAAUACCCUUGUUAAAGCUUGAUCUCAUCAGGUCUCAGAAGCUAAGCAAGGCUGGGCCUGGUUAGUAUUUGGAGACUGCUAAGAACUACUAAGAGACUGCUAAGC